rnacentral:rRNA from 1 species
GUCUACGCCCAUGCCCCCCUGAAUGGGCCUGAUCUCGGAAGCUAAGCAGGGUCGGGCCUGGUUAGUACUCGGAUGGGAGACCGCCUAGGAAGACCAGGUGCUGUAGAUG